UACGUAGGGGGGCAAGCGUUUGUCCGGAUUUAUUGGGCGUAAAGCGCGUGUAGGCGGCUUGGUAGGUCAGCUGUGAAAACUCGAGGCUCAACCUCGAGCUGUCGGUUGAAACCACCUUGCUAGAGUCCGGAAGAGGAGAGUGGAAUUCCUGGUGUAGCGGUGAAAUGCGCAGAUAUCAGGAGGAACACCGAUGGCGAAGGCAGGUCACUGGGCCGCAACUGACGCUGAGGAGCGAAAGCAUGGGGAGCGAACAGG
rnacentral:rRNA from 1 species